UGCGUAGGUGGUUUUUUAAGUCAGAAGUGAAAGGCUACGGCUCAACCGUAGUAAGCUUUUGAAACUAAAGAACUUGAGUGCAGGAGAGGAGAGUAGAAUUCCUAGUGUAGCGGUGAAAUGCGUAGAUAUUAGGAGGAAUACCAGUAGCGAAGGCGGCUCUCUGGACUGUAACUGACACUGAGGCACGAAAGCGUGGGGAGCAAACA
rnacentral:rRNA from 1 species